AGCAGCUCCCGACAUUCCAGGGUUGGUUUUCCUUCAUUUUGCUCAAUCUCAGCCAAGACAGGCUUUGUGCUGGUUUCUUCUGCACUUUCAUGAUAUGAUGUUGCAAGAAAGAAACAAGAGGAUGCCGUGAUGAAACGGAAAAUUACUAACUGGCCUUCUUGUGGAUGACAGUGCAUAUUCUGCUCAAAUAGUGGUCACUUGGCAGUGUUUUCCUGAAAGGAAGCCUGGGAUGUUAUUACAGCCUGUCACCACCAAUGGCCUUCAUGCUGAGGACCUUGGAGGAACUUCUCUAAAAAAGAAGACUGAAGAUGAAAAGAUUCUCCAGGAAGUUGCAGCCUAUCUAAAAGAAAUAAAUGAUAACUCUAUUGACUCUACCCUCGGGCCUCAGGAGUGAGCUUCAUUACUGAAAAGUCAUGGGAAGUCAUGUUUAUUGUCUCAGCAGGUAGCUGCACUUUAAGUGUAAUACUGAAAGACAUGAGAAAGCAGAGGCCAGUUUGUGUUAUUAGAGACACACUACAGCUUCCCGACAGAUGUGCACAGCAGAAAAAAAAUUAGAGCAGUACA